rnacentral:rRNA from 1 species
GGCAGCGUUUCCUUCCACCUUCUGGUCUGAUCUCAUCAGAUCUCGGAAGGUGAGAGAGGCUGGGGUUGGUAAAUACUAGGAAGGGAGACCUCCAAGGAAAGCUGGUUUAAUGCUGUAU